rnacentral:rRNA from 1 species
GACGAACGCUGGCGGCGUGCUUAACACAUGCAAGUCGAACGGAAAGGCCCCUUUGGGGGUACUCGAGUGGCGAACGGGGGAGUAACACGUGAGUAACCUGCCCUUGACUUCGGGAUAACUUCAGGAAACUGGGGCUAAUACCGGAUAGGAAUCCUUGCUGCAUGGUGGGGGUUGGAAAGCUUCGGCGGUUUUGGAUGGACUCGCGGCUUAUCAGCUUGUUGGUGGGGUAGUGGCUUACCAAGGCUUUGACGGGUAGCCGGCCUGAGAGGGCGACCGGCCACAUUGGGACUGAGAGACGGCCCAGACUCCUACGGGAGGCAGCAGUGGGGAAUAUUGCACAAUGGGCGGAAGCCUGAUGAAGCAACGCCGCGUGCGGGAUGACGGCCUUCGGGUUGUAAACCGCUUUCAGCAGGGGCGAAGCUUGUGGUGACGGUACCUGCAGAAGAAGCACCGGCUAACUACGUG